rnacentral:rRNA from 1 species
CCUACGGGGGGCAGCAGUAGGGAAUCUUCCACAAUGGACGAAAGUCUGAUGGAGCAACGCCGCGUGAGUGAUGAAGGUUUUCGGAUCGUAAAACUCUGUUGCGAGGGAAGAACAAGUACGAGAGUAACUGCUCGUACCUUGACGGUACCUCGUUAGAAAGCCACGGCUAACUACGUGCCAGCAGCCGCGGUAAUACGUAGGUGGCAAGCGUUGUCCGGAAUUAUUGGGCGUAAAGCGCGCGCAGGCGGCCUUUUAAGUCUGAUGUGAAAGCCCACGGCUUAACCGUGGAAGGUCAUUGGAAACUGGAAGGCUUGAGGAUAGAAGAGGAAAGUGGAAUUCCACGUGUAGCGGUGAAAUGCGUAGAGAUGUGGAGGAACACCAGUGGCGAAGGCGACUUUCUGGUCUAUAACUGACGCUGAGGCGCGAAAGCAUGGGGAG